GUCUACACCCAUACUACCCUGAACAUACCUGACCUCAUCUGAUCUCAGAAGCUAAGCAGGCAGGGUUGGGCCUGCUAGGACCUGGGUGGGAGAAAGAAAGACUAGAAAGUAAGAGAAGUUC
ensembl:rRNA 5S_rRNA 5S ribosomal RNA